CAUCAGACAAUCUUUCCCUGGUAAGCUGUCCAUCAAGAUCAAGAUCAUCCUCUUCCAUGGAUGACUUGUGAAAAUCAACAGCAACUUCCUUUCUGGUUUUACAGAUUGGACCCAUCUUUCUAAUCCGUGAUCUAACGGAUUCAUUUUCAUUACAAGUGACUGAUGUUGAUCUUGGUAGCUCUAAUUCUCUUUGAUCAAAGCUAUUGCUCUUCAUCUUUGUAACUGUCACUGUUACAUUGGGGUUAACCGAUUGAGUGCAAGAACAACUAUCAGCAUUUGAACAAAUAAAAUAUCAAAGUAAGCAAUACUAGGGGAUGUCAGGGAAGCUCAUCAAGACCGGCAAUUAGGAAAAAAUCCAACAAAUUAAACAAAAGCAACGCAUGUAAGAACAAAAAGAAGAGACAAAAUAAGUGCCAAACCGAGUAUUCAAUAAUUUUAAAUUGUUAAGCGAA
rnacentral:lncRNA from 1 species